CAUUGCUCUGAACUUAACGGGAAGGGCCUUCGAAGGUCUGCCUCCAAAUGGUGCAAAGAGAUCUGACUUUAUGCAGCGGGGAAAUAAAGAU